rfam:Paludibacter jiangxiensis DNA, scaffold: PJIAN_1, strain: NM7.
GGGCAGUUACCAGAGUGGCCAAAUGGGGCAGACUGUAAAUCUGCUAGCUUACGCUUACGGUGGUUCGAAUCCAUCACUGCCCA